UACAGAGGUCCCGAGCGUUGUUCGGAUUCACUGGGCGUAAAGGGUGCGUAGGUGGCUUGACAAGUUUGAUGUGAAAUCUCCGGGCUUAACCCUGGAAUUGCCUUUAAGACUGCAUCGCUAGAAUCGUGGAGAGGUGAGUGGAAUUCCGAGUGUAGAGGUGAAAUUCGUAGAUAUUCGGAAGAACACCAGUGGCGAAGGCGACUCACUGGACACGUAUUGACGCUGAGGUGCGAAAGCGUGGGGAGCAAACAGG
rnacentral:rRNA from 1 species